UCCAGGGUAGCCUAGUGGACAUGGCAUCUGCCCGGUAAGCGGAAGGUUGUGGCUUCGAUUCCCGCCCCUGGAC